GACGAACGCUGGCGGCGUGCUUAACACAUGCAAGUCGAGCGGUAAGGCCCUUUCGGGGGUACACGAGCGGCGAACGGGUGAGUAACACGUGGGUGACCUGCCCUCAGCUCUGGGAUAAGCCUGGGAAACCGGGUCUAAUACUGGAUAUGACUCCAUGACGCAUGUUGUGGGGUGGAAAGCCUUGUGCGGCUGAGGAUGGGCCCGCGGCCUAUCAGCUUGUUGGUGGGGNGAUGGCCUACCAAGGCGACGACGGGUAGCCGGCCUGAGAGGGCGACCGGCCACACUGGGACUGAGACACGGGCCCAGACCCCUACGGGAGGCAGCAGUGGGGAAGUCUUGCGCAAUGGGCGAAAGCCUGACGCAGCGACGCCGCGUGAGGGAUGACGGCCUCGG
rnacentral:rRNA from 1 species